CAUAUCAAUAAGCGGAGGAAAAGAAACUAACAAGGAUUCCCCUAGUAACUGCGAGUGAAGCGGGAAAAGCUCAAAUUUAAAAUCUGAUAGUCUUUGGCUGUCCGAGUUGUAAUCUAGAGAAGCGUUAUCCGCGCUGGACCCGUGUACAAGUCUCCUGGAAUGGAGCGUCAUAGAGGGUGAGAAUCCCGUCUUUGACACGGACUACCAGGGCUUUGUGAUGCGCUCUCAAAGAGUCGAGUUGUUUGGGAAUGCAGCUCAAAAUGGGUGGUAAAUUCCAUCUAAAGCUAAAUAUUGGCGAGAGACCGAUAGCGAACAAGUACCGUGAGGGAAAGAUGAAAAGAACUUUGGAAAGAGAGUUAAACAGUACGUGAAAUUGCUGAAAGGGAAACGCUUGAAGUCAGUCGCGUUGUCCAGGGAUCAACCUUGCUUUUGCUUGGUGUACUUUCUGGUUGACGGGUCAGCAUCAAUUUUGACUGUUGGAAAAAGAUUAGGGGAAUGUGGCAUCUUCGGAUGUGUUAUAGCCCUUGGUUGCAUACAAUGGUUGGGAUUGAGGAACUCAGCACGCCGCAAGGCCGGGUUUUAACCACGUACGUGCUUAGGAUGCUGGCAUAAUGGCUUUAAUCGACCCGUCUUGAAACACGGACCAAGGAGUCUAACAUGCCUGCGAGUGUUUGGGUGGAAAACCCGAGCGCGUAAUGAAAGUGAAAGUUGAGAUCCCUGUCGUGGGGAGCAUCGACGCCCGGACCAGACCUUUUGUGACGGUUCCGCGGUAGAGCAUGUAUGUUGGGACCCGAAAGAUGGUGAACUAUGCCUGAAUAGGGUGAAGCCAGAGGAAACUCUGGUGGAGGCUCGUAGCGAUUCUGACGUGCAAAUCGAUCGUCAAAUUUGGGUAUAGGGGCGAAAGACUAAUCGAACCAUCUAGUAGCUGGUUCCUGCC
rnacentral:rRNA from 1 species